CCCUCAUGAUGACUGCAUCUGUCAGUUGCAUGGAGCUUCACUCAAGGAUUUUCUGAGCCUGAGGGAUUUACAAUGAUAAUCACCUGGGGAA
ensembl:misc_RNA